rnacentral:rRNA from 1 species
GAUGAACGCUGGCGGCGUGCCUAAUACAUGCAAGUCGAGCGAAUGGAUUAAGAGCUUGCUCUUAUGAAGUUAGCGGCGGACGGGUGAGUAACACGUGGGUAACCUGCCCAUAAGACUGGGAUAACUCCGGGAAAACGGGGCUAAUACCGGAUAAUAUUUUGAACUGCAUGGUUCAAAAUUGAAAGGCGGCUUAGGCUGUCGCUUAUGGAUGGACCCGCGUCGCAUUAGCUAGUUGGUGAGGUAACGGCUCACCAAGGCAACGAUGCGUAGCCGACCUGAGAGGGUGAUCGGCCACACUGGGACUGAGACACGGCCCAGACUCCUACGGGAGGCAGCAGUAGGGAAUCUUCCGCAAUGGACGAAAGUCUGACGGAGCAACGCCGCGUGAGUGAUGAAGGCUUUCGGGUCGUAAAACUCUGUUGUUAGGGAAGAACAAGUGCUAGUUGAAUAAGCUGGCACCUUGACGGUACCUAACCAGAAAGCCACGGCUAACUACGUGCCAGCCGCCGCAGUAA